AUCGCUAGUAAUCGCGGAUCAGCAUGCCGCGGUGAAUACGUUCCCGGGCCUUGUACACACCGCCCGUCACACCAUGGGAGUCGUUUGCUCCAGAAGUCGGUGACCCAACCGUAAGGAGGGAGCCGCCGAAGGAGUGAAUGGUGACUGGGGUGAAGUCGUAACAAGGUAGCCGUAGGGGAACCUGCGGCUGGAUCACCUCCUUUU
rnacentral:rRNA from 1 species